rnacentral:lncRNA from 1 species
GUGGAAAGAGCACUUGAGUCAGGAACUGCAUUCUGAUCCAUUUCCAGUACUAACCAGUUGUUUAGACUUCACUGUUACCUGCAUGCUGUUAGACUAAUUCUGAGUGUGCACACACUGCUAGUGAUAGCUGGGUCGUCAUGGAGGUGGUGGUGAUAGGGUGGUGGUGAUGGUAGUGGUGGUGGUGAUAGUAGAGGUGGCAGUGAUGGUAGAAAUGGUGGUGGAGGUGGUGGUGGAGAUAGACUGGUGGUGAUGGUGGUGGUGGUGGUGAUAGGGUGGUGAUGGUGGAGGUGGCAGUGAUGGUAGAAAUGGUGGUGGAGAUAGACUGGUGGUGAUGGUGGUGGUGGUGAUAGGGUAGUGAUGAUGGAGGUGGUGAUGGUGAUGGUGGUGGUGAUGGUAGAAAUGGUGGUGGAGGAGGUGGUGGAGACAGACUGGUGGUGAUGGUGGCGGAGGAGGUGGUGGAGAUAGACUGGUGGUGAUGGUGGUGGAGGUGGUGGUGGUGAAAGGGUGGUGAUGAUGGAGGUGGUAAUGGUGGUGGUGAUGGUGGUGGUGAUGGUGGGGGCAGGAGGGCUGGGAGUAAUCAAGCUGCUGGCACUGAUCAAUGUCUAGCCAACGCCAAGGACCAUUCUAAGUGCAUUAACUCGGUUCGUCCUGUCCACAGCCCUUCUGUCACCUACCCUAACAUGAGGACAGGGAGGCAGAGAUGAGGGAUGUGACUGACUUAAGGCUGGAGGCUAGUUAAAGGAAAGUCCAUUUCAGGUGGUCUGGUUCCCGACCGUGCCAUUUCACUGCCUUCAGUGAGAUCCAUACUACCAUUUUUUACAAUAAAAAUAAAGAAAUCUUAUUUUUCUCAUCUAUUAGACAAAAAAAAAAAAACUACAAUAAAAUCCAGUAGGAAAUAUUCAAAGAGGUAGUUUUUAUAAAUUUCCACCUAACCCAUGAGAGGAGGCCUGGGGUCUCCUGUCCCUUCCUGCCC